rnacentral:rRNA from 1 species
GACGAACGCUGGCGGCGCGCUUAACACAUGCAAGUCGAACGGAAAGGCCUGCUUUCCCUUGUGGAUUGCGGGUACUCGCGUGGCGAACGGGUGAGUAACACGUGAGUGAUCUGCCCCCAACUUGGGUAUAAGCCUGGGAAACUGGGUCUAAUUCCCGAUAGGACUGCAGGGUGGUGCCUGUGGUGGAAAACGAUUUUCUAGUGGUUGGGGAUUAGCUGCCGGCCUAUCAGCUUGUUGGUGGGGUAAUGGCCUACGAAGGCGGGGACGGGUAGCCGGCCUGGGAGGGUGGACGGCCACAGUGGGACGGAGAUACGGGCCAGACUCCUACGGGAGGAAGCAGUGGGGAAGAUUGCACGAUGGGCGGAAGCCUGAGGCAGCGAGGCCGCGUGGGGGAUGACGGGCGUCGGGUGGUAAACUCCUUGCGACCGCGAGGAAGCCACCUGGUUGGAAGGGUGGUGACGGUAGUGGUAGAAGAAGCACCGGCUAACUACGUG